rnacentral:lncRNA from 1 species
GCUUCUCGCUGGAGUGCGCACCGAGCGGCAGUGACUUCGCCGCUGCUGUAGUUCCCCGGCUGGAUGCGGUGACUGGUGCCAGUGCUCAGGCGCCCGCUGCCCUUGACCUCCCGCCCCGCGAGCCCUAACUCAGCGCAGGAGGACCGGCUGCCGCCGCCGCCGCCGCCAGAUCCACACAACUUAAAGAUCUGCUGUCGAGUGAAUGGGGAAGUGGUCCAGAGCAGCAACACCAACCAGAUGGUUUGUUACCUUUUACCCAGGGGAUGUCAUCCUGACUGGGACCCCCCCACCUCCACCCAGGUGUCGGUGUAUUCAGGAAACCUCCUGUCUUUCUCAAGGUCUCUGAAGGUCCAGACAGCACUGAUGGCGAGCUUUGGGUCCGCACACUCUGGAAAGAAGAGAGAAGUGAAGGCUCUAGGUAGGGAGAACAGAGAGCCACUGGGCACAGGCUUCUCUCCUCUUGUUUAAAGAAGCCCAGGGAGGGAUAGAGCUCUGACUGGACAGAAGACUGUACUCUGCAGCCUGCCUUCCUAGAGUUGGGUUGUCACUGUCCUGCAGGGGGCAGCAGCCACCAGCAAACACCACUGCCUGCAGGAGCCUGGGCUGACUGGUUGGGACUCACCGAAGAUCCCUUCUUCCUGGGCGGUGGCCUGCAGGAACUGGAACAGCUGCUCUGUGUAGCCCAACUCUGCAGAAGAGAGAAGACCUAGACCUGGCACCCAGCACAGACACAGCCUGCCUCGAGGACUGCAAGGGAACAAGGGCCUCACCAGUAUCGGGCAGCUGGCCCUGGCGGAGGAAGGCGGCAGCCUGUGCAAAGGCCUUGAGCAGCGGGCUGAGCAGGCGGCAGAGGAAAAGAAAGAAAUCUGGGCAGUGUGACUGCUGGCUGAGCUGGAGGGGACAGGCCGGGGUGAGUGCAGCUCCCCACCGCCUCCCUACCACCUCCCUCCAGGGGCAGCUUUUUGAAACACACCCUGAAGUACCGGCCGUCAGCCUCUCCGAAGUCAUCACUGUCACUAUCAGUAAAGUCCCCACUCGGUUUCCACAGCA